rnacentral:rRNA from 1 species
GAUGAACGCUGGCGGCGUGCCUAAUACAUGCAAGUCGAGCGAACAGACGAGGAGCUUGCUCCUCUGACGUUAGCGGCGGACGGGUGAGUAACACGUGGAUAACCUACCUAUAAGACUGGGAUAACUUCGGGAAACCGGAGCUAAUACCGGAUAAUAUAUUGAACCGCAUGGUUCUAUAGUGAAAGACGGUUUUGCUAUCACUUAUAGAUGGAUCCGCGCCGCAUUAGCUAGUUGGUAAGGUAACGGCUUACCAAGGCGACGAUGCGUAGCCGACCUGAGAGGGUGAUCGGCCACACUGGAACUGAGACACGGUCCAGACUCCUACGGGAGGCAGCAGUAGGGAAUCUUCCGCAAUGGGCGAAAGCCUGACGGAGCAACGCCGCGUGAGUGAUGAAGGUCUUCGGAUCGUAAAACUCUGUUAUUAGGGAAGAACAAAUGUGUAAGUAACUAUGCACGUCUUGACGGUACCUAAUCAGAAAGCCACGGCUAACUACGUG